UAACAACAACAUACACAUAAGAUACUAGAUAAAAACCUAAGAACAUGAACACAAGAACAAAUACAAGUACCCCUCUGCCUGUCUGUCUCUCUCCCUCUGUCUGCCCUGCAGGGAGCUGACUCUAGAUGAGCCUCCACAGACCUGCUGGUCCGGGCUGUGUGGUUAUCCCUCUCUGGUCACUCAGGUCCACAUACUGAAGGCUAGUGGACUCGCAGGACAAGACUCUGAUGGAGGGUCUACAGGUGACUGCCGAUGUCCAGUCAUAAGGACAGAAGCCAGAACCAUGGUCAUUCUACAGCAGGUGUAAUCAAACUGUGCUGGACAGGAAGUGUGUGUGAGUUAAAACUCUGCUCCCACUGGAUCACACACACAACUUUUAAUUGUUUUUAUACGGGAGAGGAAGAAAGAUUGUGGAUGAU